GGCUGUUCUGCUUUUAUUCUGAAGAAGCGCAGUUUUUCUUAUGUUUUUCGUGAUGCUAAACUUCCUGCUACUCUCUCUUCACAAUGUGGUGCUCACGCAUCGUCGGAGGAACGAGCUCCGAACUGUGAGGGUGUGUCGAGCUAGAGAGCAUGCUAGCUGAUGGCAGAAACUCUUUGAUUAGCGCUCUUGGAGAGCGGAAUGAGGAAACUGCGACGGCCAACAGAGAGACAGCAAAUGGCCAAACUUCCCAAAGAACGUGUCGAAGCCUCAGCACCUUUCACAUACAGCGGCAUGGACUGUUUUUCAUUUAAAAGAAGCAUGUGACAUUUUAUUUGUUUAGCUUAAAACAUAUUUAAUUUCAUAUUGGUUCUUAGUUAAAAUGUUAAAAUGAUUUGUAUUGGGUGUAAACAUGAUUAAUAUGUGAAUUAUUCGUGAAACUACAUUGAAGCAUUUUGUAUUUCUUCUGUUUUAUCCUGUUGUUUUCACGGUGUUCAUGGUGCUUAUGGUGCAUGGAGCUCGUUGAGAGGAAGAAAUAAAUCGACACCCGUUUGAAA